rnacentral:rRNA from 1 species
CACGUAGGGGGCAAGCGUUGUCCGGAUUUAUUGGGCGUAAAGAGCUCGUAGGCGGCUCAGUAAGUCGGGUGUGAAACCUCCAGGCUCAACCUGGAGACGCCACCUGAUACUGCUGUGGCUAGAGUCCGGUAGGGGAGCGUGGAAUUCCUGGUGUAGCGGUGAAAUGCGCAGAUAUCAGGAGGAACACCAGCGGCGAAGGCGGCUCUCUGGGACGGUACUGACGCUGAGACGCGAAAGCGUGGGGAGCGAACAGG